rnacentral:lncRNA from 1 species
UUCGCAAAGCAACUUCAACAGUGACGCGUGAUUUUACACAAUAUCAGUCCCCAAACAGUUUGCAGCCCCCAAAAAACCGGACCGAUGACGGGCUGCCGAUGAUGGACGGUAACUCUUGUCAAACGGGGACGGUUGAUGAGCCGAUCGUAAGGUAUCCGCAGGUGCAACAAAGAGCUUUGCAUGCUGCUUGCUGACUACAGCAGUAGAUCACAGCGCCCAGCGGAUAUGCUACAGUGGCCACCGCGAAGCCCGAAAUUGACUCUAUGAAUUUGCAUCUGCAGCAAUGUGGGAGCUGUAGCUUAGCCGUUUGGAGCGGGUUGUCCACGGCUGAGUGGAAUAUCGCUGACACGGCCCGCAUUCUCAUAAGGCGGCCCCAUGGGUCCAUCCCUGCCCAGCAGCUCAUCGCAGCCAGAGCGGAGAGCUGGAUUGAUUGACAGUUGCGGAGGGAGUUGGCUCCUUUCUGUCUCUCUGGCAUUGAUACUACUAUAUCAGGAUGUUUCUAUCAUAGUUGUAAUGGGCAUGAAGUCCCAUUCUUUGACAUGGUGGAGUUCGUUUUGCCGAUGUCGUUGGUUUCCAGUUGGAGUUCAGCUGACGAUCUGGGGAGCCUUCGGCCACAGCGCAACCGCCGUUAUGGAGUCCUCGUAAGUAACGGUAUACAUUUAGCCAGGCCGCAAAAGCCUACUGGCCUCCAAGGCUCCCGGAGGCCGGCAUGCAGCAGGUGCCGCGCAGCCGCAUCAAGGCGCUUCAAGGCCCCAAACCACCAGCCUUCGGCCACAGCGCAACCGCCGUUAUGGAGUCCUCGUAAGUAACGGUAUACAUUUUAGCCAGGCCGCAAAAGCCUACUGGCCUCCAAGGCUCCCGGAGGCCGGCAUGCAGCAGGUGCCGCGCAGCCGCAUCAAGGCGCUUCAAGGCCCCAAACCACCUUGCAGCGUUGGAAUGGAUAUAAUAACGAAAUGUUGCUGCGGCUCUCCGUCGUGGAAAUCCGUGGAUCCAGUCGAUCCCGACCCCGUGUCAGCGCCUGUGCUGCAGCUUGCCCCAGCAGAAAACGAUACCCCGCAAGGCUAGUGCAUACAUGUCUCGCUGGGCCACUUGGGUGUCACGACGAACAUAACCGGCACGUGUGGUAGGAGCGCAUCUCUCCGCGGUCCGAUCCACUCUGUGUUCGCAUGUCAGUAAGGGGUGAGCCUUCCGUCCUAACGGCCCUAUUGCGGCCAUCUGUGCGAGGCAUUAAUGGGUCCUAGAACCUUUAUUCCAAAGGCCUGGGUUGAAAGGGCACAAUUGUUCUAUACUAUUUCUUAAAUCUGGUCCCACACGGAUACAAAAGGGGCCGCUGGUGAAGCUAUACCACCCUGUAACAACAUACAUUUUCUGUCUGGCUUUUCCUUUUUCGCUUGGCGCGGUUGUUGGACAAGUUCGCUGGAAGGAACCGAAUUCCGACUGCCUGUUUUGCCGGGUCCGACGGCGAGCGGGAAGCUGUCAUGGAUGCCUACAAGUAUGGGCGCCGCCUCAGGCAGAAGUCCAUACUUGCAAAAGUAUGGGCGGGGGUCGUAGCACAGGCUACGACUGGGACGCUGGUCCCUGGCUCGUGGAGCCCCGUCAUCGAUUGGAAGCAUGAGUGGGUCAACGGUACGCCAUUCCGGGACUGGACCGCGCCAUUUCGGAACUGGCUGUACGAUUCAUGGGAUGGCCGCAUCCUCCGC